UUUCCGUAGGUGAACCUGCGGAAGGAUCAUUAAUGAGUUGUCAUGGGGUUCGAUGCUGGCAGCCAAUUUUUGGAUGCAUGUGCUUGCCCUAACAAUCAUCUUCCAAACACCUGUGCACAUUUUUGAGGGAGUCUUGAGUUGGUUGCCGCUCUUGGGUGAUUUUCUCACAUUCCCUUAAAUCAUUAUACGCUAUUAACAAUGUUGAACGUGCUCUGUGCCGCAAGGCUAUUAAUAUAAUACAACUUUUAACAAUGGAUCUCUUGGCUCUC
rnacentral:misc_RNA from 1 species